rnacentral:rRNA from 1 species
AUCGAUGAAGAACGCAGCGAAAUGCGAUAAGUAGUGUGAAUUGCAGAAUUCAGUGAAUCAUCGAAUCUUUGAACGCACAUUGCGCCCUUCGGUAUUCCGUUGGGCAUGCCUGUUCGAGCGUCAUUUAAACCUUCAAGCUAUGCUUGGUGUUGGGUGUUUGUUCCGCCUCAGCGCGUGGACUCGCCUCAAAUUCAUUGGCAGCCGGUAUGUUGGCUUCGUGCGCAGCACAUUGCAAGCGACUUCAGCAGACCCCCUCCCAUAAGCCCUUUUUUUACUUUGACCUCGGAUCAGGUAGGGAUACCCGCUGAACUUAAGCAUAUCAAUAAGCGGAGGAAAAGAAACCAACAGGGAUUGCCCCAGUAACGGCGAGUGAAGCGGCAAUAGCUCAAAUUUGAAAUCUGGCCCUUUCAGGGUCCGAGUUGUAAUUUGCAGAGGGCGCUUUGGUGUCGGCAGCAGCCUAAGUUCCUUGGAACAGGUCAUCAUAGAGGGUGAGAAUCCCGUAUGUGGCUGCUUGUCUUCACCGUGUAAAGCCCCUUCGAUGAGUCGAGUUGUUUGGGAAUGCAGCUCUAAAUGGGAGGUAAAUUUCUUCUAAAGCUAAAUAUUGGCCAGAGACCGAUAGCGCACAAGUAGAGUGAUCGAAAGAUGAAAAGCACUUUGGAAAGAGAGUCAAAAAGCACGUGAAAUUGUUGAAAGGGAAGCGCUUGCAGCCAGACGUGCCCGUAGUUGCUCAUCUGGGGUUUUCCCCAGUGCACUCUUCUAUGGGCAGGCCAGCAUCAGUUCGGGCGGUUGGAGAAAGACCUGUGUCACGUAGCUCUCUCCGGGGAGUGUUAUAGGGCAGGUGGAAUGCAACCAGCCUGAACUGAGGUCCGCGCAUCUGCUAGGAUGCUGGCGUAAUGGCUGUAAGCGGCCCGUCUUGAAACACGG